rnacentral:lncRNA from 1 species
GGGGGGAGGAGCUGCCUUGGGAGCAGCUCGCAGAGACGCAAGGGAGAUAGCUGCUUUGCAGUACUGGGAGAAGGUCAGGGGCUGCCAUUUGGCAGCUUGAGCAAGGACUGGUCAGCAAGUCAGUAACGAGAGGGAGAGAAUAGGUGCUGCCUUUGGCAGCGAGAGACUGGCGCAGCCAGAGGUUAGUCAAAGUGGGCAGCGGAAGAGAAUAAAAGAGAAUAGAGGGAAGAAGACUGGCGGGGAGACACAGGAAGAGGGUCAGGCAGGAAGAGUGGAGAAAGACUGGCAGUGUGGGCACGAACGCAGCAGAUUCUCUCGGUUUAAUCUUUCCAAACUUCUAUUUUAUUUCUAUUUUAAUAAUGUGUAAAUAAACUUAUUUUGGCUAGAGGUUUAAUUCAAAGCCAUGAAUAUAUUUGUAAUUUGAAUUGAUUGAUUACCUUCAGUUGUGAUUUCUGAGUUUGUGAUUUAAUUUGCUUAACUGCUUGAUUGAUAACUUAUUUUUGUAUGUCGAUUAAGGAUGCAUACUUAAUUUACAUGCAUGAAUUUGAUGCUAGAAUAUAAGUGAAUUUCACACCUAAUCGUUAUGAACUUAUAUUCACAAGUAGAUGAAGGUUGUUAUCCACAAUCGUGUUACGUGAAUUCUUGGCAAGAGUAUCAUGCUUUUCAUAGUUACGAAUGCCUCGUCAAUACUUAUAGUUUUCACAAAGUUUAAUGAUCUUUGAUUGUAUCUCUAUUGUGCUUUUCACGUAGGGGACUUUUGAAGAAUGUUUUGAAUUGUUGUAUGCGUGUUCCUGUCCAAUUCAAUAACUUAAGGAAAACUUGAAGAUUAAAAAAGUGAUGUUCAUGGUUAAUCUGAAGUAUUGAGAUUCACAACUUAUUGAAAGAACAACUGAAAAUCAAUUUAGCUUGCAUAUGUGUCAUGUGUGGAGAAGAACCCUCUAGCUGGUCCGUCACCUAUCCUUUUACCUUAAUUUUUAUGCUUUUGUCAAUUCUGUAAUUUAUUUAAGUUUAAUUUACUUCUCGUCAAAACCAAAACCCCCCCAUUAUUAAAUUAUAUUAUUUAGUUAGUGUUCAUUGUUGUUAGUCUUUUAAUUCAAUUUCCGUCCAUUUCAGUUCCUAGUGUCUAAUUUGAUUGUUUUCAUUAUUUUGAGUCAUUCUAAGUGUGUUUCGAGUUAUUAGAGUUUUUAGCCUAGUUUUGUGUCCUUGAGUCUUGUUUAAUAUUUUUUAAAUUAAUUUAGGAUAGAUUAGCAAUCCCUCCUAAUCCCCGGCCUAGAACGAUACCCUACUUACAUCUAUACUACAAUUGUCAAAAAGAGGGUUUAAUUUGUGUGUCAAGUAAUUCUCGCAUCAAAUUUUGGCGCCGUUGCCGGGGAUUAGCAACUUUGCUAAUCCCUUUAUUUUUGUUUUUGUUUAUGUUUAUAUUGGUGUUUGUGUAUUUUACUUUUGAUAUUUGAUUUAUUUUUCUUUCUUUGAUUUUAGGUACAAAUGGAGCAAGACAUGGCACUUGCGACCAUUCAAGCUCAAUUGGCACAGCUCACUGCUCAAUUGACUCAUAAUGCCGAACGGACCACAAUGCCAAGUGUCCCUACACUUGAUGUGCCCUAUGGGCAAGGAUAUCAAAGUCCUCAAUUUUCUGCAAAUGAAGAUGUUUGGGAAUAUCAAGGCCAUAACCAAUCAAUGGGCAACAUGUUUUCCAACGCUUGCAAUUCAGAUUGGAGAGGUAAUUCAGAUUAUAUGUGGGAUGAACCUCAACAAUUUCAACAAGGUGGAUAUUGGCAGCAAGACGAGUUCUAUUCAAGACCUAUGCAGCCACCACAACAUCCCCCACAACAAUUCCAAUCAAAUCAAAGUAUGCCCGUGAAUUAUAAUGAAAUUCUUGAAGGACUAAUUUUUGUGGCGCAGGGUUUACGAAAAGAAGAACAAUUGCUGCCAUCGGAAGAGUUCUAUCAGUGGCCAUAUGAACCGUCACAGCCACCACAACAAUCAACCCAAUUCAAUUCAGGUACAUCCUUGGAUAAUGAUACACUUAAUAAGUUACUCACCUCUUUGAAUCAGGGAGUAGAAAAUCAAAACCAGGAGAUGCAAGACCGAGUCAAAAGAGUGGACGAAUUGGAGAUGCAAGUUGGGCAGAUUGUGGAAUUCAUGGCACAGAUUCGAGAUCAAAGUGAACUUUCCAACUCAAACAUUGCAAAUUCAAAAGCAGAAAGUGAACUCGAUGAAGCCAUCACCUUGGAAGGUGACAUGAAGGAUGAAGCUGUCCCAGAACCAUCCAAACACAGCCCGAACAUGGAUGAAUUGCUGCUGCAAGCAGAAGAGGAGGAGGACGACCUGGGCAGUUUAGAAGAAUUCUUGCUGCAAGCUCCUCAAAUCCCUAUGUCAUCCAACUCAGGUGAGGAAGUUCUAAAUUCACUUCAUUCUAACAUUAUUCCACCGAAUGUCCUUUGUCCUUGCAGGUUUUUGAUUCCAAAUAUCAAAGAGAGUGAAAAAGACAUUGUGGAAGCUCUUCCAAAGGUGCAAAGUGAUAUCCUAAUUCUUGGUGCACCAAAACAAGUUCCCGAUGGUAUUGAAACGUUCAAAGAACCUUGCACACCAAGAAAAGGGAUUCAAGAAAAUGAAGUGGUUGAAGCAUAUCAAGAAUACAUCCAAGAGGGCUGUGCAUGAGACAAUCAAGCCCAAAGCAGUUGAGUUUGAUGACACGGGACAAGCCACAAAUCAUCAUAGUAAAACCUGGCCAAGUUCAAAGUCCCGGAAAUGUUCAAAAAAAGAUGUGGUGUUUGUCAUUGAGUUUGUGUCGGAAAAAGAAAGUAAGCCAUCUUCUCCAAUUUCAAUUUUAAUUUAUACUAACAUGUUUCUGAUUUUGAUGAUUCAGGCACCCACUCUUGAAUUUAAACCAUUGCCGAAUCAUUUCAAGUAUCACCUCCCAUUAAAAGAUAAAUUCCAUGCUUUGGAGCGGAGGGGAAUUUAAAGGAAAGAUUCGUCCGGCUAAAGACGUUAAAUCAAGCGCUUCUUGGGAGGCAACCCAAGCAUUUAACGAAGGGAGACUUUGGAAUCGCUAACCCAAUCAGAUUUGCAUUCUUACACCCUUAUCUUUACUGCUUUCAUUUUGUUUUGUUCAGUUAGUUGUGUUAUUUGGUUGAUUUCUGUGAGUUUGUGUUAUUUAGUUUAAGUGUGGGGGAAGGUUAACCAAAGUCUUUCUACAUUAAUUUACAUAUAUUUAAAAAAAAAAACAUUAAAAGUAAAAAAUAUUUUACAAUGAUGUGUAAACUAAUAGCUUUCAUUGGUCAGGUGGUGCUUCAGUAGUCGGCGGAGCUUCAGCAGUCGGCGGGGCCACGGAAGGAGGAGUUAUCGGAGGUUGAUCAGUUGGAGCUUCACUACGCGGUGCCGCCCCAGAAGACGAAUGCAGAUGCGGUUGGAACAAACCUACAAACCUCCGGUGAUCAAGUAAAAUCUGACCAUCAUUUUCCUGCAGCUGGUCAAUUUUCCUCUUCAUGUUUGUGGCAUAACUGUGUGCAAGCUUAUGCAAUUGUUUAUUUUCAUGCUUGAGUCCUCUAAUCUCCUCUUUGAGACUCUGUAUUUCAGCCACCAACGAUUCAACGUGACGGGUUCGGGCAAAUAGGCGUUGGGCCAUGUUGGACACGGAACCGGCACACUGCACGCUAAGAGCCAGAGACUCCUUAACCGCCAAUUCAUCAGACCGUCUAGCGAGCAGUCUGUUAUCUCUUGGGGUGACAAGGUUCCGGGCCACCACCGCAGCGGUCAUGUCAUUUUUCAUCACCGAAUCCCCAACGGUGAGAGGACCAGUAGGGGAUAUGAAAGAUGGGCGCCAUAUGUUGUCUGGUGAAGGCGGAGCUGCCUCUUCACCAAUGUUCAAGUCAAAACGACGAUCGGAAGGGCCAGACAUUUUCUGAAGGUGGUGAAGAAAGAAGAGAGUCGGACUGAUUAAGAUUUUGGAAGUUUACAGGAGGGAGUGUUUACAGGAGGGAGCUCAAGUGUGUUGUGGAACAAAAUUAACGCCUCUAUAAAAAGAAGAAAUCAAAGAGGCGCUCAUCAGAGAAGCGUCCUCUCGCAAAUCGAAGAGCCGGGGCUCCUUUCUCAAACGCCUGAUUCUUUUCUCAAAAGAGGAGUUUCCUUUCUCAAAAGCCGGAUUCUUUUCUCAAAAGAGGCGUUUCAUUUCUCAAAAAAAUGGGCUUGCUCAGAAACCACGAGCCGAAACCCGGAUUUCAAAAGAUCAAUUUGUCCAGACGUGUCGUCACUCGUCACAUGCAACUUGCAGCUUUGCGGAAAUUACGGGCAGCUUUGUCAGAAAGCACGUAAUUUGUACUAUUCAUCCAUCCACCGGCUACCGACAAUGAGUGAGAGAAUAGUUUCGGUUGUGAAGAAAAGUCCUAUAAGUAUUUACCUUCGCCUUCCACAGCAAAGGCACACCCUCUCAGCACUUCUUCAUCUCCGAGAAUGCAUUCCCAAAGAACCCUCUCGAGUCACACUGUAUUCCUCAUUCCCUGGGAUACCCCUGCAAACAACCCAUCCAGAGCAAAAGUAUUUCAUAUCAUGAAGGUUGAAAGCAAGAGUAUCUCAUAUCAUGCUUUCUCCCUGUCCUUUUCCUUGUCUUUGUUUUACGACAAGGAGAAAGAGAGCAAUCAGCCAGCAUUUGGUAUCAAUCUUCCGAUCUGGAGCCAACUGCCUGGAACCCCUUCCUGAUUGCUUACCUAGCCUUGCUCUCGAGUACUCAUCUUCAUCAUUUUAUGCUUUCUCUUCAUCUACCACAUCUGCCUGGGGGACAAUAAGGGAAGUGAAAAUGAUACCUCGAAGCAUGUGGAGACAAUUCAGCUAGGGACAAGGAGAAAGAGAGCAAGAGGUGGGCACUUGGAAAGAUUGAAGAAAGAAACAGACCAACACCUCUCCCUCGUGCCUGCCCGUUGUGCAGAAUGAACAAGCAGAGAAGAAUGCAACUCGUACAAUCAACCCAGCACAAGGAGUUCGAGCUGAAGAACUAGAGAAGCUGCCACAUCUGCUUGGAGAACAAAUAAGGAAUUGCAACAUCACCAAAGAGCAAAGCUUCGCCGUACAAUAUCAUCAAAUCAUCACUUGCAAGUAAAAAGCUAAGUGUCACCCUGUUCAAGAGGAAAGCUGUGGAAAGUCAACAAGCACGACCAAUGAUCACUUAUUAGUUCUAUUCAUUGUCUUUUAUCGUGAUUUUCAAUUUUUCGUUUGCAAUUUUUUUUUAUAUUUUCUUGUGUUACUAAACUGAAUUAUUUCUUUUCUUUGCAGGAACUUUUGGUUAUUUCCACCCUUGAAGUUGAUUGCAGAAUUUUAGCUUGGGGGGUCAUCGCUUGGUUUUACUGCAAACUAAGGAAGUUUUCAGUCCAAUUGCUUUAUGUUGUUUCUUAUUAUUUAUUUAUUUUAUUAUUAUUUUUUUUUAAUUGCAUUAUAGUGUUUUCUGACAUUGGGGACAAUGUCCAGUUUAAGUGUGGGGGUAGACAUCUCUAGAAUUUCAUUUGAGGACGUGUUGUUGUUUUUUGUUUUCUUAAUUAGUUUUGUUUUCUUUAAAAAAAAAAAAAAAAAAAAUUCGGAAAAUUUAAAAAUCCAAAAAUAUUGUCUUGUUCCUCUUAUUGUUCUGAAUUAGAUUUUUGUUAGUUUCCCGACCCAAUGAUAUAAUUGGAUCAAAUUUGAACCAUGAUCAUCAAGAACUUAGUUAACAUGUGUUUUGUGAAAUUCCUAAUUGUCUUGUUAGUUUUGUACAUGUUUGAUCAUCUUUGAAAAACCAAAUGCACAUAGCCUUGUUAAUGUGAAACUAAAGUAUGACUUAAAGCUUCAUAUGUGAAUUUAGUGACCAUAUACAUCCUAUGUGAGUUUUUGAGCCUAUUGAAAGUGUGUGCAUUUUUCAUACACUCCUAUUCUUUCAUGUGUGAUGAACUUAUGUGAGAUACAUCUCUAGAACUUGCGUAACGAUCUUUCGAAAUGUUUGUCAUUGAUUGCAUGAACUUGGAAAUGAUAGAGGCAUUAGGUUUACCACCAUGGCCCAAAUAACCAUGUUUCCCAAAGAAAAAUGAUAUCAUUAGAUUGCCAAUUUGAGCCGUGUAUGUUGAGCCUUUUAUUUCUUAUCACCAGAUAUGUCUACCCUUAUACCUGAAACAUUUUUCCUUACCCUUUCCAAGCGAGCAAUGCGAGAUUGUCCUAUGAGAUACGUUUGUGAAGUACUUUGAAGGUGUUUGGCAAAAGAAUAAGUGUGGGGGUAUUUCAUGUUUGUAUUUAAAAAAAAAAAGAAAGAUUGUAUACAAAGAAAAUAAAAAGUUUUUAAAGUUUCAGUUUAAGGGUGUGAUUGGAGGUAUCAGAAGAAUCGUUGGAGAGCUUGAGUUCUUAUAAAUCUAAACAAAAGAAUUGCUUGCAAUGUAGCUUGGAACUUGUGUUUUCCUAUUCUUUCGUUUCAAUAACCUUAUCCCUAAGCCUCAUUACAUCCAAUAAAAGUCCUCUUGAUUUAAGUUUUGCAAUUAUGAUUGUGGAGAUGAGAUCUUUAUGCAAGCUUAUGGUAGAAAUUUCACAUUUGAUUCUUUGAGCGAAACACAUUAAAACUAAACACAUGUGUGAUUGAGUGCAUAUCCCGUGAGAAGGUCGCUAGUUUGCAUAUGAUGAUUUUAAAAAUAAAAACUUGAAAUUGCAUUAGCAUGGCUAUCUCACACACUACACUUCAAGGAUGAUUAAAGAUUACUGCUAAUAUUUGAAUUAGGAAGAUGAACUUGGAUUAGUUCCUUGAUGCUAGCUAUGGUUCUUGAUGAUUUGUUUUCUUGAAUGAAAUUCUAUGAGGGUCACAUAGAGGGAAGCUAAUGUUUUUCAUGUUUUCUUUGUUUUGCUCGGGGACUAGCAAAAGUUAAGUGUGGGGGUAUUUGAUUGGAUCAUAUUUAUAUAUAUUUUUACUUCGAAUUCACUCGUCUUUUCUUAGUUAGUUCCUUAUAUUUUUGAGCUAUUUACGUUAUUUUUAUGUUUAUAGGAUUUGUUAUGCAAAGAAAAUAAAAAUAGCACAAAUGAGUUUUAAAUAAUAAACAGAAAGAAUAUUGGUUUUAUUUUUGGAUUGGGUUUUAUUUUGGUUUAUUUUGGUUUAUUUUAUAUGCAUUGAAUUGAUUGUUUCAUAGAAUAUUGGUUUUGGAUUUGUUACUUGAAUCUGCUAAUUAUAUUUGAAUUGAUAUAAUAAUGACUUUAGUUACUAUGGUUGCAUUUCUGUUGGUCUAUUGUUUCACAUUUAUAUUUGAGUAGGUGUGUAAAUGUGUGCAUGUAUUUGAAGUAGAUGAAAAUCAUGGUAUUGUUUGUGGCUUUUGUGUAGAAAAAAAUCCCUUAUAUUGAAUCUGGUGAGUAUGUGGCCUAUAAUAACGAAAAGGAGAAAACAAGUGGAGACAGCUACGGAAAAGAAACGAAAAAGGCAGAAAACGGGGGACAUGCGGGGGGAAAGAAGAAGUGAAGCAUGAGCCUCGGGGAUGGAAUAAAAAUUAAAAGGCGGAAAGGAAAUUAGGUGAGCUGGAGGAGGCUGCCUUUGGCAGCUGGAGGAAAAGAGGGACACGACAUAAUUAAGCAGGGAAUAAAAUAUGAAGACAAAAAGGGAAUCCAGGGUGAAAACGUGAGGGGGGAAAGCAAGUGUGAACGGGGGGGGGAGGAGCUGCCUUGGGAGCAGCUCGCAGAGACGCAAGGGAGAUAGCUGCUUUGCAGUACUGGGAGAAGGUCAGGGGCUGCCAUUUGGCAGCUUGAGCAAGGACUGGUCAGCAAGUCAGUAACGAGAGGGAGAGAAUAGGUGCUGCCUUUGGCAGCGAGAGACUGGCGCAGCCAGAGGUUAGUCAAAGUGGGCAGCGGAAGAGAAUAAAAGAGAAUAGAGGGAAGAAGACUGGCGGGGAGACACAGGAAGAGGGUCAGGCAGGAAGAGUGGAGAAAGACUGGCAGUGUGGGCACGAACGCAACAGAUUCUCUCGGUUUAAUCUUUCCAAACUUCUAUUUUAUUUCUAUUUUAAUAAUGUGUAAAUAAACUUAUUUUGGCUAGAGGUUAAUUCAAAGCCAUGAAUAUAUUUGUAAUUUGAAUUGAUUACCUUCAGUUGUGAUUUCUGAGUUGUGAUUUAAUUUGCUUAACUGCUUG